UACGAAGGGGGCUAGCGUUGCUCGGAUUUACUGGGCGUAAAGGGCGCGUAGGCGGCUGUUUAAGUCGGGGGUGAAAGCCCAGGGCUCAACCCUGGAACUGCCUUCGAUACUGGACAUCUUGAGUACGGGAGAGGUGAGUGGAACUCCGAGUGUAGAGGUGAAAUUCGUAGAUAUUCGGAAGAACACCAAUGGCGAAGGCGACUCACUGGCCCGUUACUGACGCUGAGGCGCGAAAGCGUGGGGAGCAAACAGG
rnacentral:rRNA from 1 species